AUGUAUAGCAUUUAUAGGGACACUUUGAAGGGUCUGGCUGCAGUGUCCCUGUCCCCCUUAGUCCUGCAAUUUAAAACAUUGCAUUUUUUUUCUGGCAUAUGGUGGCAGUACAUGUGGGUUUUGCUCCUUUCCUGUGGACAAGCAUUUAACAAGAUUAAGUUAACAAACCCCUCCCCCUUGCCCUAUAUAAGGGCUAUCUGGCAAAAAC